CCACUUUUGGCUGUUAGACUUUUAUUCAACUGAUCAAUUGAAUAAAAGGCUAACCACCAAAAGCGAGAAGAAGAAAAAGAGCAGAUCGACGAAACAAGUCCAGUACAAAAAAUAGAUGGUUUAGGAGCAAAAACCAACAGUUUCUUCUCUACUCCUGGCCACUUCCAAAGCCAUCACGGUUCUCAUGCUGCCACCCAAAACCCUGUCCCUCAAGACCCAUAUCACCAGCGUAGUACUUGCCUCCUUUAGGGUGAGAUAAGUGAGGCAAGGGGGGUGGAGGUGGUGGCGGGUGCGGAAAUGGCUGUGGGGCCAAUAUACCUUUGCCAUCCCUGGAAUCCAUUGUACCACCCUGCGCAGCUUCCAUCCCCUUGUUGGCAGAGGGUGGUGGUGGAGGAAUCAUUGGUACAACUCCUGGAUUCCGUCCAUAAUCACCUUGAUAAUAUGCAGCAUUUCCCCGAGAAUCUGAACGGUUUGGAAAACCAUCUGGAAUUGCCUGACCCCCUGAGGUUGGUCCAGAGUUCCAGGGCUGUGGAUAGUUUGACAUGAAAUUCACACCUCCUGCUGGACCUGGUGGGAAACCCAACAAAGAUCCUUGUUCUGCUCCAACUUCUGGGUCUGAAUCUGGCCUAGCCAUCUGUCCCAUCUCAUAGGGUGCGCCAUAAAAUGGCUGAGCUCCCUCGGGUUGGAAAGGAGGUAGACCAUAUUGAGGAGUCAUCAGUGGAUUAGAAUUCAUUGGUACAACAAAAUUA
rnacentral:misc_RNA from 1 species